UUCGCAAUGCCCGAAAGGGUGACGAAGCGACGCCGCGUGGGUGAGGAAGGCCUUCGGGUUGUAAAGCCCUGUCAGGAGUUAAGAAAUGUAGACUCGCUAAUAUCGGGUCUAUUUGACGAAGGCUCCAAAGGAAGCCACGGCUAACUCUGUGCCAACAGCCGCGGUAAUACAGGGGUGGCAAGCGUUGUUCGGAAUUAUUGGGCGUAAAGAGCACGUAGGUGGAUUUGUAAGUCAGACGUGAAAGCCUUCUGUUCAACGGAAGGAUUGCAUCUGAAACUACAAACCUUGAGUGUAGGAGGGGAGAAUGGAACUUCUGGUGGAGCGGUGAAAUGCGUAGAUAUCAGAAGGAACGCCGGCGGCGAAAGCGAUUCUCUGGCCUAUUACUGGCACUCAGUGUGCGAAAGCGAGGGGAGCAAACGGGAUUAGAUACCCCGGUAGUCCUAGCCGUAAACGAUGGGCACUAAGUAGAGGGGUUUU
rnacentral:rRNA from 1 species